UGCAUUCACUAGUGUAAGUCGCUCUAGAUAAGAGCGUCUGUUAAAUGACAAAAA
rfam:Salmo salar isolate Sally breed double haploid chromosome ssa27, whole genome shotgun sequence.